CGAGAAGCUGCAAGGAGACUGCAGGAUUUGUGGAAUUGGAUUGAAAUACAGCCAUAGUUGUAUGUAUUGUCAUCUAGAAAAAGAAAAAGAUCAACAAAAUGAGACUAGACCAAAAUGAAACAACAACAACUGGCCAAACACUUUACUGCACUUUCAUGUGGCCACUCUGAAUCAGUGGGUCACCUGGUAGAGGCAUCUGUACAAUUAUUCGUGACAGAUCACUGUAGUUGGCUUGAAAGAUGCAUUUGUUUGAUUAUGUUUUGGGGAAUUUCUUUUCUUCAUGUCUUUUCUUUCCCCUGUUUUUGUAUAGACUCAUAGACAAGAUUUGACCGGUGUUUUUGUUAAUAGAGGAGUCAAUCUAGACCCAUUAAGCAAGUGAUCAAGGGUAAGAAUUGCUUAAUAUUCAUUUACUUAUUCAUUUGUCAGUUGGCACUACACAUUGAGCAGUUUAAGUAAAAUAUAUAAUCAAUGGCAGGUUGGACUGGUUGUGUAUGAUUCACAAGUUCCAAUUGGUGCCACUCUUGAAUACAUAGAUGGGCACUACAUGAUAUCUUAGAGCAAUUGAUAAGAAAAAGGCAAGAGAACUAAAAGAUACAGAGGUAGAAUUGCAGCUCAAUAUCAAAGACAAAUCAGAUGAGUUUAGAUUGCCUACAGAAGAGGCACUUCUCCAUUAAUUCUACUUCGAAGUUCUCCUGGUUCAUUUUGAAUUUGGAAACUUGAGGCUCUUAUGAUUUUCCUUUAGGAGCUUCAAGAAGAGGCACAAUGACCACCAGAUCUUCCAAAAUCUUCAGCGCAGAAUAAAAGAAUGUUUCCAGUUGCAGAGCUUGCAGAACUUAUUAAAGUGUUCGAAAAUCCAUGACCCACUUGCUUGGACAAAUGCUCUAAAGGUGAAAAAAGACUGGCUUUAUUCUAAUCAUACUAUUAUUCUUUAAUUUGUAAUAGCUUGGG